AAAGAACAUGCACAGAAAACAGAGCUCAUCGUGACAAGAUAUCCCCCAGAUAUAGUGUUAAAUAAAGGAAGCGAUAAAGGAAUUAUUGGCAUACCAAUGAAGAUUUUAUUGCUUCCUGAGCUUAGGAUAUAUAAAUAGACAAACUUGACAUGGGACAAAUGGGUAUUUUCCCCGUAAUUUUCUGAUCACAUGAAUGUAAUGCAUGCAGGAAAACGGAAGGGAGAGGUGAUACACAUCUAUAGCAGAAUGUGCAUCUGGUUAAUUCUGCUCUUCGCUUU